UUUAGUUGCGGGCGAAAGUGCCGUAUACCUGUGUUCCCGAAUUAACGUUUAAGCGAUCUCUAAGAUCGCCGGCCACAGGGUAGCCGUGGUUCAUUACCACGGCUUUUUUGUAUG
rnacentral:ncRNA from 1 species